rnacentral:rRNA from 1 species
GAUGAACGCUGGCGGCGUGCUUAACACAUGCAAGUCGAACGAUGAUGCCCAGCUUGCUGGGUGGAUUAGUGGCGAACGGGUGAGUAACACGUGAGUAACCUGCCCUUGACUCUGGGAUAAGCCUGGGAAACUGGGUCUAAUACCGGAUACGACCAUCUGGCGCAUGUCAUGUUGGUGGAAAGCUUUUGUGGUUUUGGAUGGACUCGCGGCCUAUCAGCUUGUUGGUGGGGUAAUGGCCUACCAAGGCGACGACGGGUAGCCGGCCUGAGAGGGUGACCGGCCACACUGGGACUGAGAAACGGCCCAGACUCCUACGGGAGGCAGCAGUGGGGAAUAUUGCACAAUGGGCGCAAGCCUGAUGCAGCGACGCCGCGUGAGGGAUGACGGCCUUCGGGUUGUAAACCUCUUUCAGUAGGGAAGAAGCGAAAGUGACGGUACCUGCAGAAGAAGCGCCGGCUAACUACGUG